rnacentral:rRNA from 1 species
UAGGGAAUCUUGCACAAUGGGCGCAAGCCUGAUGCAGCAACGCCGCGUGCGCGAUGAAGGCCUUCGGGUCGUAAAGCGCUUUUCUGGAGGAAGAGAGAGGACGGUACUCCAGGAAGAAGGCUCGGCUAACUACGUGCCAGCAGCCGCGGUAAAACGUAGGAGCCUAGCGUUAUCCGAAUUUACUGGGCGUAAAGCGCGUGCAGGCGGCUUUGUAAGUUGGCUGUGAAAUCUCCCGGCUCAACUGGGAGGGGACGGUCAAGACUGCAAGGCUGGAGGCAGGGAGAGGGAGGUGGAAUUCCCGGUGUAGUGGUGAAAUGCGUAGAGAUCGGGAGGAACACCAGUGGCGAAAGCGGCCUCCUGGACCUGACCUGACGCUGAGACGCGAAAGCUAGGGGAGCGAACGGG